GGUGCGGUGGUGGGGCGGAGGUCACGCAGUGGCAUCAGGUGCCACCGGGCGGGCAGCCGCCCGAGGGCCUGUUCGAGCCGGACCGACAUCGC
rnacentral:tRNA from 1 species